UGGCUCAGAAGAGAACUGGCGGCAUGUUCACACAUGCAAGUCGAACGAAGGCUUCGGCCUUAGUGGCGCACGGGUGAGUAACAUGUGCGAACCUGCCCCUCGGUCCGGAAUAACGUCUGGAAACGGACGCUAACACCGGAUACGUCCCCCGGUCUUGGCGAUGGGGGGAGAAAGUUGACGCCGAGGGAGGGGCCCGCGUCCGAUUAGGUAGUUGGUGGGGUAACGGCCCACCAAGCCGACGAUCGGUAGCUGGUCUGAGAGGAUGACCAGCCACACUGGGACUGAGACACGGCCCAGACUCCUACGGGAGGCAGCAGUGGG
rnacentral:rRNA from 1 species